rnacentral:lncRNA from 1 species
UACUUUGUUGAAUUUAUUGUUAUAUUUUUCACACAUCUGGUGCUCUAAAAUUUUUAUCAAAUUUCAGACAGCAGUUUUUGUGAAAUAAUGAAGAGCAAAUCAUAUUUGUAUUGUCUGGUACUUGUAUACACUAAAUGUUGUCCCAGAGCUAUCUGAUACAGUAAGUCAGUAACGUCAUGUAGCUGCUUGUUGUGGCUUUAUCAAGGUGCCCAAGACAUACAGUGAUUUAUUCAAUUUGGUAGAGGGAUAAAAUACAGCAUGUGAUACUUGAUGCACUACUUGACUCUCUUCGGAAUUUUU